GAUGAACGCUAGCUACAGGCUUAACACAUGCAAGUCGAGGGGCAGCAUGGUCUUAGCUUGCUAAGGCCGAUGGCGACCGGCGCACGGGUGAGUAACACGUAUCCAACCUGCCGUCUACUCUUGGACAGCCUUCUGAAAGGAAGAUUAAUACAAGAUGGCAUCAUGAGUCCGCAUGUUCACAUGAUUAAAGGUAUUCCGGUAGACGAUGGGGAUGCGUUCCAUUAGAUAGUAGGCUGGGUAACGGCCCACCUAGUCUUCGAUGGAUAGGGGUUCUGAGAGGAAGGUCCCCCACAGUGGAACUGAGAAACGGGCCAAACUCCUACGGGAGGCAGCAGUGAGGAAUAUUGGUCAAUGGGCGAGAGCCUGAACCAGCCAAGUAGCGUGAAGGAAGACUGCCCUAUGGGUUGUAAACUUCUUUUAGAAAGGAAUAAAGUCGGGUAUGGAUACCCGUUUGCAUGUACUUUAUGAAUAAGGAUCGGCUAACUACGUG
rnacentral:rRNA from 1 species